GAGUUUGAUCAUGGCUCAGGAUGAACGCUGGCGGCGUGCUUAACACAUGCAAGUCGAACGAAGCGCCUUAUUUGAUUUUCUUCGGAACUGAAGAUUUGGUGACUGAGUGGCGGACGGGUGAGUAACGCGUGGGGUAACCUGCCCUGUACAGGGGGAUAACAAUCAGAAAUGACUGCUAAUACCGCAUAAGACCACAGCACCGCAUGGUGCAGGGGUAAAAAACUCCGGUGGUACAGGAUGGACCCGCGUCUGAUUAGCUGGUUGGUGAGGUAACGGCGUCACCAAGGCGACGAUCAGUAGCCGGCUUGAGAGAGUGAACGGCCACAUUGGGACUGAGACACGGCCCAAACUCCUACGGGAGGCAGCAGUGGGGAAUAUUGCACAAUGGGGGAAACCCUGAUGCAGCAACGCCGCGUGAGUGAAGAAGUAUUUCGGUAUGUAAAGCUCUAUCAGCAGGGAAGGAAGUGACGGUACCUGACUAA
rnacentral:rRNA from 1 species